UAGGCGAACGGGUGAGUAAUGCGUGACCAACCUACCCUAUGCUCCAGAAUAGCUCCUGGAAACGGGUGGUAAUGCUGGAUGCUCCAACUUGACGCAUGUUUUGUUGGGAAAGUGUUUAGCGGCAUGGGAUGGGGUCGCGUCCUAUCAGCUUGUAGGCGGGGUAAUGGCCCACCUAGGCUUCGACGGGUAGCCGGCCUGAGAGGGCGGACGGCCACAUUGGACUGAGAUACGGCCCAGACUCCUACGGGAGGCAGCAGGC
rnacentral:rRNA from 1 species